AGCGCACGGGCGCCUCAGCGGGCGGACCUCGGGGGCGGCGCCGCGGGCAGCGAGCGGGCGCCGGGAAGCCGCAUCCAGCUCGCGGGGUGCUCUGCGCUCGCCCGCGCGGCCCCCACAGCCUGCGCCCCGAGAAGCCGCCCCGGAGUGCGCGCUGCCCGUUAUGUGCACGACUUUAGGGAGCUGCCCUCCGCGUGACGUGCGCCAACUUUCCGCCAAUGGCGCGCGGGCAGCCCCGAGGGCCCGAGCGCCCCGCCCCGCCCGCCCCGCCCGCCCGCCCGGCCCGGCCCGGCCCGGCCCGGCCCGGCCCUCGGCUCUCCCGCCCGCUCGCGGGGCCGGCCCGGGCGGGGCCCCGCCGCUGCCCGGCCGCCCCCGAGGCCCGCGGCUGGGGCUGGCGAGCUCCCCCGCCGCGCCCGGGGCUUGGCGCUCCCUGGGGGCCGCUACCUGUGCGGCCCCCAGCACUCGGAAGAAGCAGCGACAGGCAGGGACAGGCACACGCGCACCCCGACAGACAGGCUCAGACUUCUGCGGAGACGCGCCCGUCCAGCGCACCCCCCAAGCACACUCGUGCGCGCGCACACAGAAGCCCACGCGCACAAAGUCACCCCUGCCCAGCGGAGGCCGGGCCAGAAAGCCAACACAGGAGCGCCCAGAGCACAGAACCAGGUAAACAGGACGCUGAGCGCUCACGUGGAGGCAGGCAGAGAGCCACAGACUCGGACGACCCCCUCCAGCUGGUAGGAAUUUCAAGAUGAUGUCUUCACACCAAGAGUCUUCUCCUGACCUCCUUUUAGAAUUGGGCAGCCCGGUGACUUAGCGGUUUAGCGCCACCUUCAGCCCGGGGCCUGAUCUUGGAGACCUGGGAUCGAGUCCUGUGUCAGGCUCCCUACAUGGAGCCUGCUUCUCCCUCUGCCUGUGUCUCUGCCUCACUCUCCUUCUGUGUCUUGAGUAAAAUCUUAAAAAAAAGGAAUUGGAGUAGAGAGAGUUAGUUAGAAUGGGAAAGAGGUCAAUAGAUCAUUUAAUUCAUUUCCCUCCAUGGUGCAAUGAAGAAACUAAAGUGCAGAAGUAAGAAGCGUGUAGUCGAAAGUGGCAGGCAAGAUAAAAAGAUCCAGGCCUGCUCCCUGCCUUACAUAUGUCCAAUGCAGUCCCUUCAUUUCCCAGCAGAGGACUUUGAUUGGCCCUGCUUGCUGGGCUCGUGGCAUUAGAGACUUAAUGCUUCAGCUGAACUUGGAAGUUCUUAGUAGUCUAAAUGCACCUUGAUCUGAUGUAAGAAAAAGCAGGCUCUUUUAUGGUGAUUGAUAGUGUCUAAUUACAUAUUUUGUUCAAUCCCUUAAGACACUAAUUUGUCGUUUCCUGCCUGCCAAACAGAAACAAAACAAAACACAUUUUGAUUUACUGAACAAAUGUUUGAAUAGGAGUAAGGUUCUUUGGUGCCAGGGAAUGUCCUCACACCAUUAGCUGGACAGCUUAGGAAAAUCUUAUCCUGUUCUUGGCUUAGAUGAGAUUCCUUCCAUCUCUAUGACCUGAGCAGAUAAACAUCUGUAGAUUUCUUUCUAAAUAAUGGUCUUAAAUGUCUUGUCUUUAAUAUUCUCUCUGUAUACCUUCACCCCAUUAAGUUUACAUUAAAUGAGAUUAAAUGUAAUGUUCAGUGUGCUCCCUUGCAGAAGAGAUAACUCUUACUGUUUCCUUAUUUUUGAAUCAAAAUGUACCCGUAGAAUGCACAUUUAUCUUAUCGGGCGCUAUGUGUGAAAGGCCCCUUUGAAUGUGAAUAAUGAGUAAUUUGCUUGUAAUUUGAAUUUUGGUGAAAAAGAAUGAAAACAGGAACAAAACUUGGUGCCUUAGAAAGAAAAAUGACUAUGGGGACACCUGAGUGGCUCAGUGGUUGAGCGUCUGCCUUUGUUUGAGGUAUGAUCCCAGGUCCCGGGAUUGAAUCCCGCAUUGGGCUCCCCACAGGGAGUCUGCUUCCCCUCUUCCUGUGUCUCUGACUCUCUAUCUGUCUGUGUUCUCAUGGAUAAAUAAAUAAAAUCUUAAAAAAAAAAAAGAAAGAAAAAUGACUGAAAAUUACUGUCACCAUCGAGUUAUGUAGCUGGGUAGAAUGUUUUUGGUUUUUGAGUGAAAUAUCUCACAGUCUGGUCAGCCCCUUACACAAGGCAUCCACCAAAACUCUCAGCUCUAGCAAGGGCAAGCUCCCCACAUCCUCUUGCCACUGUAUAUUUCUGACUAUGCAGAGUGAACUGCAGUACAUCUUGCAGCUCCGGCUCAGGGAUUUUAAGUCUGCCCCCUUGAGGCCACUCAAAACAAGUUUCCUUUUUCUUCCCCAAGACCGUCCUCAAGGUUUUGGGAGAAUCCCUUGGCGGUCUCCGGAGCCUUCCUUUCAGCUUAAAUAGCCCUUGUUCCUUUGGGUCUAGAGUCUCCUUUACCAUCAGGGCAGACCUAUUCAUGCUGUCAAUGUCUAAACUUAACAUCAAUACCUGGAAUGAUCAUAGAACAAGUCCUCAAAUAAUCAAUUUGCAGUCACCUUGGCAACCAAAAAGUAAGCAGAGCAACCAGCAAAGCUUUCAGAACGGCUGAUUAUACCGGAUGAAUUUAAUUUCCUGCUGUGCUAGCGUUUUAUGAGAGACAUGCUAAUAAAUUCUCCACGUCUCAGGGGGACCGAAUGAGGGGAGAUGGCUUAAAUUAAAGCCGGAGAGACUUCAGUUGAUCCUCUGAAGGGCUACUUGGCCUGAAGACUUCCAAAGAAGCUAAUCUCUACCAGCUCUUCUCAGUUGGGACUUCAUAAGAGAAUUAACCCUGCAAAAACUGAGUGACGCUUCUUACUAAUUUUCCCAAGAACAGUAGCUAGCUAUUACCCACCUAGAGCUCUAAGAGAGAGGUUAAGUUGUUACAUGCAAUGUAAGGGAUGCCUUAGGGCAUAGGGCUUAAUUCAUAGGGCUGAAUCUGAAUGGCAUUGCUUGGAGUUUCCUACAGAUAGGGAAUGAAUGGUGUGUGAUGAUUAAUACUUCUGUGUGAUGGAAGCAGGUUGGGGCAGAGGAGGUAACAUGGAUGGGGGAUCAGGAGACCCAGGCUCUGGGCUCAGGACAGCUAUAAUGUUAUAAAUAACCUUAGUCAAGUCACCUUCUUUCUUUGAGCCUCAAUAUUCAUCCAUGACAUGAGGUUGGCCUGGGUGACAUCUAAGACCCUCCUAUUCUAUUCUAAGCUGAACGAGCCUGUUGUGGGAAGGAAGCAAGUGGAGGGUCCCUGAGAAAUUGGGUUCCUGACUCUGAGGCCACCGAGGCACUGGCAGGCAAAACCCAUCAAUACUCUACAAAACAACUUGGCCAUGCUCCCUUCCCCACGCCAAAGUUCACCAUUGUGAUUCUUGCCAUUCCAAUUAGCAGGUGUACCAUUAUUUGCUGAAUACUUUAUUGACAUUGACUUCUUUCUAAAACCCAAAUACAUUUAUUUUUAAAGAAAAUUUUGUGUUGCUGCCAUUGCUACACGUGGUAAACCGGUGUCAUCUGCCAUAAAUAGAAGGUAACCAUGAAAACAAAACAAUGUUAAUAAAUUCUAGCUAGAUUUUGCUGCUUGCCAAAGUCUGAGCCUGGGGCUUGCUCUUUUUAUUGAAAAGGAAGAUUAGCAAGUGCUGGGGAGAUAAUAAUGGUUUUCUAGCACCAAAUGAGGCUUUCUUCACCUAUCUUAAAAGACCGAAAGAAAAUUGAAAAGGGGAUCACUCUUAAUAGUAGUCACUGUUUUUAAUGUGGUGUUACUAAAGUAUUUAUAAAAUAAUUUCUUAUUCCACCUAAAGGGAUUUCAGCCCCAGACUUGUGCUAAUGAGACCCACCACUGUGAUAGAAAAAAGCAUGGGGUUUGGAACCAGAUGGGUCUGGGUUCCAAUGGUGAUUCUGACCUUAAACCAGCUGAGUGCUUCAAGCAAUGUGCUUAAGCCCUCUGGGUCUCAGAGUGAUUCUUUGUAAAAUGAGGAUAAAAAUCCCUGAAAUGGUAGUCGAGGGAAUAGAAAGAAUGCACAAAAAACUGGGUUUGGAGGGGAAGGGAGAAAACCAGGAGACAUGACAGUAGAAAGGUCAGCAUAACUUGGAUGGGUUGAGAGUUGGGGAGUUGAAUCAGAUGAAUCAGGGCCAUCACCCAGCAGGGACUAGACAAGGAGAGCAGUAGUGUAAGUGUCUGUAGGACAGGAAGUGGUGAUGAAUUCAGAUAUGGCCAUAUGGAAUUUGAGGUUUUGACUGGACAUCAAAAUAGAAGUUAGAAUAUAAUCAUGAUUAGGAGAUUAAGAAAUUUGAGGUGAUGUGUCUGCCAGUGGUUGUCAUUACACUGAUGUGUCUGCCAGUGGUUGUCAUUACACUGAAAGUGUUCUCUGAACUGCAGUACCCACAGAAGAUGCCUUUGGUGGUUAAAUGAAAUAAUGCAUCUAAGGAACUUAGCACAGAGUUUCCAAAAAAGUGUUUAUCUUCAUCAUCAUCUCCUGGAUUUUCCAGCAUACCUCCAAUUUCAGGACAUUGUAUUCAUUUCUCCGAGGGCAAUCUU
rnacentral:lncRNA from 1 species